rnacentral:rRNA from 1 species
GAUCCUGGCUCAGGAUAAACGCUAGCGGCAGGCCUAACACAUGCAAGCCGAGGGGCANCGGAUAGAGUACUUCGGUACUCUUGCCGGCGACCGGCGGACGGGUGCGUAACGCGUAUGCAACCUGCCUUCAACAGGGGGGAUAAUCCGAAGAAAUUUGGUCUAAUACCCCAUAAUAUUCCGACAGGCAUCUGUCGGAGUUGAAAGCUUCGGUGGUUGGAGAUGGGCAUGCGUUGUAUUAGCUAGAUGG